CAUCUUGAGUCGAGAUCUGCCUUCAAGAUUCUCUUGAUGUUCUCUUAGAUGUAGUGGCUCAUGCCUGUGUUUUCAAGCACUAGGGAAAGUAAGUCAGGAUUGCAGCAAGCUUCAGUCUGGCUUGGGAUAGUAGCAAGUCCAUGUCUCAAAACAACAUCAAACAACUCUUUUUUAUUCUCCUCUUUUAAACUUGGAUUUUAAGGAGAGUCGGGGUAGUGUUAAUCCCAUAGGUGGGUAGAGAAAGACCACUGAUUCCCAUGGUCAAAUUAACCUAAGCAGGCAAUUGGUUGGUCUGCGGAUCACUAAGAUACCUGUUGCCAGGUGGUCUGCAGGAAUGGGCACCUCUUGGUCACCCUGCAGCCCAGAGUCCAUCUGCGGACUGUGAGCAGUGAGGCUCACAAGCUGUUGAGCUGCCUCUGAGGUCUGUCAAGCUAUGCAGCUUUGCUCCAUGUGCCUCAUAGAGGGUUCUGAGGAAGAAUGAAUGUUGGCAUUGUUGUCUGUCUUUUAUCUCUUUUAGUGCUCUCCUUAAUUUUUGAUCAGAGUUGCUCUUCUUUCCCACCAAAUCGUGCCUUGGUGGUCAGAAUGCCAAAGAAGGUAGCCCUAAGAGUGUUGGGCUAAUCUGGCACUGUGAACUGUGAACACUGUAAGGAAUCCACAAGAUUCAUUUCAAUCCUGGCAGGCUGUGGCAGGGCCCAUCCAUGCCCAUACUUCCAUUCUCUCUUAUGGAAGAACAAAAAAGGGGGUGGGGGGCUGUUGAACUCAAGCUUGGACAAAACGCAUAGUAUAACAGCCAACGAAGCUUGUCCAGUGUGGCCACCGUAGAGAGAGAACUGUGACCUCAUUUGCUAUGAGCCAAUGAUAGCUUAAUCUUAUAACUAUGCAAUCGAGUCUCAGCCAACCACAGCAAUGAAAUUCCAGCCAAUCACAGAAAUGAAGCCAAUCACUGGCUGCCAGUGGAUCACUUGGUGCCUGCUGGACGUGCUUCCUGCAGUCAAUAAGGAUGUAUCUGAACGGUUUGCGGCUCUUCGGCUGUUUAACUGCCUGGCGCGCAGUGCUCCCGGAGUAGAAUAUGUCUGGACCUUGUUAAGACAGGUGGAGGAAGAGCGAACUACACCAACACAGGAAAUGGAGCAUGGUUUGGUUCCCAGUACUCAUAUCAACGGGUUCACAACUGCCUGGAAUUCCCAUUCCAGGGAUCAGAGGCCUCCACAGGUGUUGCAGAAGCUGUUUCAAGAUUUCCAAAUGCUGACCUGCCUUGUGCCCAGCUCAGUGCAGACAGAAACCAACGCACUGGAAGAGAAACACAACCAGGAAGCGGUCCCCGUCCUGAGAAGACACAGCUAUUAGUGCACAGAGGGUGUGCUCACAUAAGAAGUAAAGCUUUUCCCUUGUGGGGACGUAUUUUUACUGGAAAAGCUUUGCCGACAUGCGUGAGAAGCAUUGGUUGAUCAGACGGGGCCACCUUACUGAAUGACUGCCUGAUGGAUGGUAAAGGUUUCCUGUGCUACUGGGCAGGCCUCUGUGACAUGGCCUCCAGUAACGACCCAUGGUCCCACACUGCAUGUUCUACUCUGGACCCUACUCUAGUCAAAGAGCAAAGCAGACUAUGGACAAUCUCUGCCCAUCACACAAGGUGAGGUAAGCUGUGCUAGGGCCUCCGUCUGCAUCAAGAUGACAGGGGCUCCUGGGAUAGUUGUUCUCUAUGUCUGUCCUGGUUCUCCAACCUUUGAAGUGGGGAUGAAAAGUUUGUGAUUGUUGUCUCAGCACAUCAUUCUGUAAAGUGACAGAAACAUAAAGGUGGACAGUAAGGGAACAGAUUGAGCCACAGACCUGGGUGGGGUCUUCACAGGGUUGGCUCAUCCUGAAAAAGUGUAACCUUUUGUUGUCUCUGUAAUGACAGAAAGAUUAUUACUAACUGCACAGCAAAGGGAGUGUGUGGGGUGACACCUGAAAGUGACUGUGCCUUCCCACCUGCCCUGUCUCUCCAUAAACUGCACUGGGGCAGGAGCAAUGCUGACCUUGCCCUGCUCCAUCACUGUGAGACAGGAACCACUGUCCUGAAAGACAGGAGUGUUUACCAGGAAGCAGCUCCCAUCUGGGAAGGAGCCAUGAGCUCAGGAGGAAGACUUCCAGAAAGAAACGACUUUCUUUACAGGGACAAAACCAAGUUUAUUACUAGGAGGCAUGGGGGACACAAUGGCUGGGCAGAUGGGACACCUUCUAGAAAAUUGGUGUGAGAAGGCAAGGACAGCCUGAGCCACCUACUCAUUGCCCCGUUCUAGUGCCAGAGGCUUGCUGGGCAGCAACUUAAGGUGAGAAGCAGUCAGUUCGCCUGUGCUUGACUGGACGGCUCCCUUUGGGACUCAGACAGGAGACACAGCCCAUGUCUUCCUUUGCACUUUGAUGUGGGUCCAAGGCCUUAUGGGUAAAGUCUGGCUGUUGUUGGUCUCCAAGUUUUCUAUAUCCAAAGGAAUAGUUGUGCCCCUUGGUGCCUCCAUGUGGACAGUGGGUCAUUCUUAACUUAUAUUGGUAAAAGGUCUGGUCUGGGAGACCCAGCUCCUGCUGGUGUUGAAUUCCCCUGUACCUACAUGAAAGGUCAUAUUCUUUGGGCAUAGGGAGCUGGUCUGAGAACAUCCCUCUGUUCACCUGGUUCAGAUGUUGGUCACAGGCUGUCUUGGCUUUAAUCUCUGACUGUGUUUUGUCUCCAAUCCCUGUUUUUGUGAAGGAACAGUUAUGCAUCUCGGGGCUGGUCUGGCCAAAGCUCAUUGUGCUUGUUGAUGUACCUUGGUUUAUGUCAUCAUCACCCUCAGAAGAGUCGGAUGAGCUACCCAGCUGGAAUGUCAGGGAUUCCACUUCACACCCUUGUAGCUUUGAUGGGUCCCAUUCAGUGUCCUCCAUGAUCUCGAACAGAAAAUUCGUAAGGUAUUGCAGUUUUCCCUCCAUCUCUACAACCUGGGAAUAGUUAUGUAGGAUCAGGAUAAGGAGUGAGAACACACAAGAGAGUGGCAUCUGUCUUAUGACUACCCAUGAGACCCACAACAAAGGACCCACAUGUCUCCUAAGGACCUGGCAUUUGUUUAUUCUGGAAAGUCCCCAGAGUUCCAGAAGUCACAGGAACAGAGAAACUCUCAGCUGAUGGAAAAUCAUGCCCUGGCCUGACCAUGAGCAAGGCUCACUCAGCUGCUGUGGACAAGAGUGCUUGGGAUUCCAUGUGUUUUUGCUGAACUUGUAAAGGCGACACCUGGAUGGUGGAUUAACAAGAACACUGACCUGUGGGCAGCCUCAGCUGAGAACAUUGGAUUUUCACCCUAGUCCAGCAGCUCUGCUGCUCACAUAGAUGCAGAUGAAUGAAGACCCCAUUCGGGAAGACACCUGGCCAGUGGUCCAGAGCUGAUGCAGAAGAAUCCUGUUGCCGCGCGUCGUUCUUGCUGGCGAGACGUUGGGCGCGUGACAAGUGGUGCCAAAACUCGGAAACCAACAUCGCCGGUGCCGAGGGGACCCUUCAGUGUGCUGAAGAGGAUUCAGAACUGCGAGAAGGGUGAAGACAGCCCGGUCUGGAUCCCGGAGCGCCUGACUUGCGGAGUGCUCCCCGAGCAAGAUGAUAUUGCAGCUGUUACUGAUAUGCCUGUCCCACCUGAUGAUUCAAGCAGAACCUCGAUGGGGGAUCCUGUCGGUGUUCCCGAAGCCGAUGCCAAUUCAUCAUGAUGCUAAAUUGUUUCCUCGCCUUUUUACAUCCAAUAAGUCCUUUGAUUUGCCCUUUUUGCCCUUAGAUGAGAAAGUGGCUGGCUUAGGGGAAUAUAAGAAUUUUUCCCUGUUGGGUAGCUUGUGCUUUACCCUAGUACGUAAUAUUUCCCAAAAUAAUGAUCCAUGCAUGAAGUUGUAUAAUCAGACCACAGCGUAGUUUAAUUUGCUAUGGGAUUCAUCUGGGCCCUGUAAAUGCUGAAUGCCACCUGGAUUUCUGGCUGGUGGCUGGCCAGACAGGAGGGGCUUAUGCCGCCUCGACAGCCAAAGAAAUUGGACUGGUGAAUUUGACAAUUUGAUGGAGCAGCUGCGUGUGGCCAUUGUAACUGUGAAUUCCACAAGAGUUGAUGCUUCUUUCGCAGAGGGAGUAUCUUCCUGGAUCACAUCUGCCAUGACCCACUUCAAGGAGUGGGCGGGAGCAAUUGGGGUUGGCAUGCUUUUGUGCGGAGGGAUAGUGUUUAUGCUAUGGUUGGUGUGUAAGCUACGUGCCCAACAGCAACGUGACAAAGUGGUCAUUGCACAGGCCCUUGCAGCACUUGAUGUGGGCUCAUCUCCCUCGGUUUGGUUAAACAUGCUUAAGGAUUGACAAUGGGAUUUUGUUCAGACAGCCCAUGCACCCUGAGUCCUUUGAGACAUUGCACCAGGAUUGGGUGUCCUACACCUAAAGGUAGCCUUUGCACCCUGCAGGGUUAGUCCCAUUGCACGCAGGAAGGUACCUUGCCCUUGUCACAUCCAUUCAAGGUCUCGAACCCUGAGAGUCCUACAAGAGCCCAAUGGUUGAUCGACCUUGUUCUUUAUAUUAUUUGAGAGGGGGAGAUGUUGGUAGCUGCCCGUACCACGCCCAAAGAUGGCGCCGAUUUCCUGUGAGUGAGUCAACAGGGCACAGCUGUUGUCCACCCCGAAGGACGCAGUGCGCAUGAGCCAAGCACGUCUCUUGAGGCAUGCAAAUUGGGCAUUGGGGCUUGAACCAAUCGGGUAGCGACAUGAGUCUCCUAAGCAUAUAUAAGCAGUGCCUUUUCCUUCCUCGGGGUCCCUGUUCAAGAGAGCUGUACAAUAAAGGCUUGUUCGCAGAAGAAUCCUGUUGCCAUGCGUCGUUCUUGCUGGCAAGACAUUGGGCGUGCGACACUCAGGAGCCUGUAAUUCCAGCGCUCUGAAGUGUGGAGUCAGGAGGACCAGGAAUUCUAGGCCAUUCUCCAUUACAUAGCAAGUUCCAGUUCAGCCUGGGCUACAUGAAGUCUUGUCUCAGAAGCAAAAUAAAAGCCAAGCCUGUACAACUCCCCUGCUACAGGAAUCCACAGCCUUUUUUGUUUUUAUUGGGGGGGGGGUUGGGGUAUUUUUUGGUGCAGCUGGACUGUUUAUGUGCAGGGCCCCCUGUUGUGAUUGGAAGGUACUUGGGCUGUCAGUGGGUGGAUUGAGGGUGGAUUUGCUGUUUGACAGCAGAUUUUCGUUUCCCUGUAUCUGCUGUGUUCAGAAGUGCUUCCUGUUUAGCUCUUGUGAAGAAGAUACUGUCCAUGAUGUCGGAAGUUAGUUUAGGGGUCCUCUGCACGCUCCCUCCCUGCUUGUUCGUCAGUCUGUGCUCAGUAGUUUCAGCAAAGCUCUACUUUGGCCAUUGCUUUUCCCUGCUCCUCUUUUCUUCAUUGAGUCCUAGCUUCCCUUGUGUUAGAUAAGGGCCUGUUGCUCUCUGGGUCUCUAGGUAGGACUGGUUUCAUUCUCACAUGUUUGUGUGUGUGUGUGUGUGUGUGUGUGUGCGCGCGCGCGCACGUGUGUGUGUGUGUGUGUGUGUGUGUGUGUGUGUAGAAGGUCAAACCAAGGGUCUUGUGUAUUCUAGCAAAUGCUUUAGCAGUAGGUUAGACACCCAGACCUUUCUUAUCAAGUGAUUUUGAAGAAAAGUAGUAGGGCAUUUUGUCAAACAGGUGCUGAGGGUGGACUUGGUACUCUGUUUUCUGUAGGUUGUUAAGGAUGUCUUGCUGAGUUUUUUAUUUUUUAUUUUUUUGUUUUUUAUUUUGUUUUUUUCUGAUGACUCCACUAGUCUUAAGAGGUGGCUGGAUGGGAUUUGAACAGUUGUUAGGGUCUGUGAUUUCUCAGAAUGUAUUCCUGUUCGGAUUCCUGUUCAGGCAGAGUGUGGACCCCGGGAUUGAAGGAUUCAUGCAAAGGAGUUGAGGCUUGGCAAAGAGGACCUAUGAGAGGCUAUUGGUGAAGCCAAGUUGUAGCAGAACACCCCCCCCCCACACACACACACAGUGUAUUGAGAUGCCAGUAUCAUAGGAUGAUCACCAAGAACAACAGUGUUAUGGAUCACCCUGAGCUUAGAGUGCUACAGAGGGCAGAGCUGCAGAAGUGACACCAACCCUUUGGAGGAGCCCAGAAGAUCAUGUAUGGAUCCAGACACCAAAACAAGAAGCUGUAACAAUUGAUGUUGCCUUGGAGACCCCCAAGACGCUAAGGAAAGCUGCUGAUAGUUAGCGGAACCCACCCAGGGGAAAGAAGUUUCUUGAAGUCAGCACAGAUGAGGAUUGCUUUGACAUCAGACAUGAAGAUGCAGAGUUUGGAGUUUGCCCAGCUGGUUUCCUGUCUUGUCUGUGGAUUGCAGUUAAGUGAUUGGAUGAAUCUCAGAAGAGACCUUGAACUUUCGACUUUUAACAUUGUUGAGACUGCUAUAGCCUAUGGGGACUUCUGAAGUUGGAUUAAAUGUAUUUUACAUUAUGCUAUGUUUAAUUAUGGCCCCCAUAGACUCAUGUGUUUGAACAAGCCUAUGGGGGCCAGGUAGUGAAAUGUGAUGGUUUGUGUAUGCUCAGCCCUGGGAGUGGCACUAUUAAAAAGUGUGGCCUUGUUAGAGUGGGUGUGGGCUUUAAGACCCAAACCCUAGCUGCCUGGAAGCCAGUAUUCUGCUAGCAGUUUCAGAUAGAUGUAGAGCUCUUAGCUCUGCCUACCUGGAUCCUGCCAUGCUCCUGUAAGCCAGCCCCAGUGAAAUGUUGUCCUUAUACAAGUUGCUUUGGUCAUGGUGUCUGUUCACAGCAGUAAAACCCUGCCUAAAAACUUAAACCUUAGAUUUGGUUUGAGAAAAUGAUGUUGAAAGGGUGGCAGCAGUUUGAAAGCAGAAGCAGGAGGAUCAGGGGGUCGUCAGCCUGGUCUACACCACACCAAGUAUCAAAGUCUAGAAGGAAUAAGAUGAAACUGAUCCUCACUGAUGUUCCCCAGUAGGGACAGAGUGGACAGCUGCACACUAAAGAGUCUGCAUACAGCUACUGGUCAAAAUAUUUCAGGUGUAACCUGGCCCCAAGCGUGUCUCACCUGUCGGCCCCGCUCUUCACCACAGCUGCCAUCCGCACACCAGCCACCAAGGCACAGAGAACUGUGACUACCUGACUGCUGUCCAGGCAACCAACACCACAGGACUCAACUGUCCAGGUGCAAGUGGGAGGCGGGGCCUUGUGGCGAGGGCAGAGCCUGGCCCUACUCACCUAGGGGGUGGGGCGCCCACCAAUAGCUGCCAGGUACUUGUGUACCCCCCCUCUGUCUCUGUGUGUGCUUUUCUGUGUCCGUGUGUCUGUGUGUGUGUCUGUGUGUGUGUGUGUCUGUCUGUCUGUCUGUCUGUCUGUCUCUCUCUCUCUCUCUCUCUCUCUCUCUCUCUCUGUGUGUGUGUGUGUGUGUGUGUGUGUGUGUGUGUGUGUGUCCAAGCCCCAGUGCCAAUGUGUUCAAGGCUAUUCCCCACUUUUUCUUCUAUUAGUUUGAGUGUAUCUGGUUUGAUGUGGAGGUCCUUGAUCCACUUGGACUUAAGCUUUGUACAAGGAGAUAAGCAUGGAUCGAUCUGCAUUCUUCUACAUGCUGACCUCUAGUUGAACCAGCACCAUUUGUUGAAAAUGCUAUCUUUUUACCACUGGAUGGUUUUAACUCCUUUGCCAAUGAUCAAAUGACCAUCUGUGUGUGGGUUCAUUUCUGGGUCUUCAAUUCUAUUCCAUCAAUCUAUCUGCCUGUUUCUGUACCAAUACCAUACAGUUUUUUUCCACUAUUGUUCUGUAAUACAGCUUAAGGUCAGUGAUGGUGAUUUCUCCCAUGAGUUCUUUUAUUGUUGAGGAUACUUUUUGCUAUCCUGGGUUUUUUGUUAUUCCAAAUGAAUUUGCAAAUUGCUCUUUCUAACUCUAUGAAAAAUUGAGUUGGGAUUUUGAUUGAGAUUGCAUUGAAUCUGUAGAUUGCUUUCAGAAAGAUGGCCAUUUUUACUAUAUUAAUCCUGCCAAUCUAUGCACAUGAGAGAUCUUUCUAUCUUCUGAGAUCUUCAGUUUCUUUCUUCAGAGACUUGAUGUUCUUGUCAUCAGACCUUUCACUUGCUUGAUUAGAGUCACACCAAGGUAUUUUAUAUUGUUUGUGACUCUUGUGAAGGGUGUGAUUUCCCUAAUCUCGUUCUCAGUCUGAUUAUCCUUUGAGUAGAGGAACACUACUGAUUUGUUUGAGUUAAUUUUAUACCCAGCCACUUUGCUGAAGUUGUUUUUCAACUGUAGAAGUUCUCUGGUGGAAUUUUGGGGUCACUUAAGUAUACUAUCUUAUCAUCUGCAAAUAGUGAUAUUUUGACUUCUUCCUGUCCAAUUUGUAUCCCUUUGACCUCCUUUUGUUUUCUGAUUGCUCUGGCUAGGACUUCAAGUGCUAUAUUGAAUAAGUAGGGAGAGAGUGGGCAGCCUUGUCUAGUCCCUGAUUUUAGUGGGAUUGCUUCAAGUUUCUCUCCAUUUAGUUUGAUGUUGGCUAUUGGUUUGCUGUAUAUUGUUUUUACUAUGUUUAGGUAUGGGUCUUAAAUUCCUGAUCUUUCAAGACUUUUUAACAUGAAGGGGUGUUGAAUUUUGUCAAAUGCUUUCUCAGCAUCUAAUGAGAUGAUCAUAUGUUUUUUCUUUGAGUUUGAUUAUAUAGUGGAUUAUGUUGAUGGAUUUCUAUAUAUUGAACCAUCCCCGCAUCCCUGGGGUGAAGACUACUUGAUCAUUAUGGAUAAUAAUUUUGAUGUGUUCUUGGAUUCAGUUUGCAAGAAUUUUAUUGAGUAUUUUUGCAUUGAUAUUCAGAAGGGAAAUUGGUGUGAAGUUCUCAUUUUUUGUUGGGUCUUUGUGUGGUUUCGGUAUAAGCAUGCUUGUGGCUUCAUAGAAGGAAUAUGGUAGUAUUCCUUCUGUUUCUAUUUUGUGGAAUAGUUUGGACAGUAUUGGUAUGAGGUCUUCUAUGAAGGUCUGAUAGAAUUCUGCACUAACCCAUCUGGCCCUGGGCCUUUUUUUUGGUUGGGAGACUUUUAAUGACUGCUUCUAUUUCUUUAGGAGUUAUGGGACUGUUUAGAUGGUUUAUCUGAUCCUGAUUUAACUUUGGUACCUUGUGUCUGUCUAGAAAAAUUUCCAUUUCAUCCAGAUUUUCCAGUUUUGUUGAAUAUAGGCUUUUGUAAUAGGAUAUGAUGACUUUUUGAAUUUCCCCAGUUUCUGUUGAUAUAUCUCCCUUUCCAUUCCUGAUUUUGUUAAUUUGGAUAGUCCCUCUAUGCCCUCUGGUUAGUCUAAGUGUUUACCUAUCUGGUUGAUUUUUUUUCUAAGAACCAUCUCCUGCUUCUGUUGAUUGUUCGUAUACUUCUUUUUGUUUCUACUUGGUUGAUUUCAGCACUGAGUUUGAUUAUUUCCUAACUUCUACUCCUCUUGGGUGAAUUUGAUUCAUUUUGUUCUAGAGCUUUCGGGUGUGCUGUCAAGCUGCUGAUGUAUGCUCUGACCAGUGACUUUUUGGAGGCACUCAGAGCUGAGUUUUCAUUUUAGCAUUGCUUUCAUUGUGUGCCAUAAGUUUUGGUAUGUUGUGCCUUCAUUUUCAUUAAAUUCUAAAAGGCCUUUAAUUUUUUCUUUGUUUCUUCCUUGACCAAGUAAUCAUUGAGUUGAGCAGUAUUCAACUUCAUGUGUAUGUGGCCUUCUGUUGUGUUGUUAUUGAAGAGCAGCCAUAGUCCAGGAUAUGAUCUGAUAGGAUGCAUGGGAUUAUUCCAAUCUUCUUCUAUCUAUUGAUGCCUGUUUGGUGACCAAUUAUGCCGUGCCCAACCUCGACCAGCAAAGAAGACAUGACCACAGGAGAUCUUCUUCAAGCAGUUUCACUCAGGAACCUUGAUACAAUCUUCUAACCUCUAUCUCUUCUGACUCUCUCUCCUUCUGACUCUCUCUCUCUCUUCUGACUCUCUCUCUUCGGACUCUCUCUCUUCUGACCUCUCUCUUCUGACUCUCUUCUGACUCUCUCUCCUCUGACUCUCUCUCUUCUGACUCUCUCCCUUUCUCUCUUCUGAUUCUCUCUCUCUCUGACUCUCUCUCUCUCUCUCUCUCUCUCUCUCUCUCUCUCUCUCUCUCUUUUCCGGGGAACGCCCUGCACCACACUUAAAUAUCUAGCACUGGCCAGUCCUAGCAAGCCACGUGGGUCAUGUAGAUAGGCUGUCACUAUGCAGAAGCUAUCGGGCUAGGCAGACAUAGCCAAAUAAGGACUUGUUUACUGCAAGGAGCGCUCACUGUUGAGAGGGUGGAAAGCGGAAACCAGCGCCAUCUUUGAGGCGCAGCACGUUGCAGCUCUCUACAGUUCCCCCUUUUUGUUUAAUUAAUCAAGCAGGCAAAGGCACCGCUGAGCGUGGUGACCCCCCCUGUCUUAGGAUCAUCCCUUCAUUAAACCCGUCGUAGGACACCUCGUCGCCCACAACGUUCCAUGCCUUAGGUAGAAGGGAAGUUGCCCGUCGCUGGGCAAGGUCACUCACAUAUACUCAGGGGCGAGGUGCAACUAGGUCUUCUGAAUGACCGUAAGCCAGGCUUGAGGGGACUGUCCUGCUUCAAUGGCUAUAAAUGUCUGUACCAUCAAAGCCUCGUGCCGCCUCUGAACAAACCUCAUUCUACAGAGACACCACAGGCUCACUAGGGAGACCAGCAGCAAGAAUUCAGCUAGGGCUCCCAUACCCACCCACUCUCUAAGAUGAUUCAUAGCAGCAGCAAUCCAAGAUGACAAUCCUGUAGCCAGUCUAGCAUCUGCACAUGUGGAGUUCACGGUCACGAUGGCUACACGUAGCUGAUCCAUUAAGAAAUCGAAUUCUCCAGUCCAAUUACCUAAAAAACAACUUGACAACUGUUUAGACAAAUUAGAGUAGUGGGCUUAAAGGUCAUGACGUAUCGGCAUGGGUCUUGGGAACACUGAAAAUUGGCAGUAUUCAAUUAGAAAAGCUCUCCAAUCUAGAUACUGCCCUGGUUUGAGGCACGCUCACACCAGGGUGGUCCAAUCACUAGAAGUCAUGCAAAAUCUGUGCAGAGCCUCUAUCUGAGCAAUAGUAAAGGAGGCAGUGAUACCAUAUGUCCUGAUUCUGCCAGGGACUUGAUCACCUUAAAGUCUAAAGGCUCAUGAUACCUUUGUUGAUUAGCAUCCACAUAACAGGAUAGGCCAGAUGUAGUUCUGUGCAGACUGCCUUCCACACUUCUGGGCAGAAUGUACUACCUGAAACUCUACUUCCUUCCUCUACAACAUUGCAGGGAGGAGGAGCCGAGGGGAACUGCCCAGGAGGUUCCUCCACCAUUUUAGGCUUUUGCCUAUUCUUCUUCUGUCUAUUCCUUAGAGACUGUUUCCGCAUUUCAUCUAUCAACUCUUGUAACUCUUCUUCUGAAUCUGUUUCGUCUGUUUCCUCCUCUGUAUUUGUCUUUUCUGAGUCUGUCUCCUUUGCGCUUCCCUGCUUUUCUGACCUCUCCUCUUGAAGCAUUUCUAGGGCAGCUUGCCCCUUCUCCCUAUUCUUUUUUUUUUCCAGAGCUGGGGACCAAACCCAGGGCCUUGCGCUUUCGAGGCAAGUGCUCUACCGCUGAGCUAAAUCCCCAACCCCAGCUUGCCCCUUCUCUAUAGCUGCCUGACAACAUUUCUGAUCCUCAAGGCAGCUACACACUAAGCACCAUACUGGACGGACCCCAGGUCUUAGAGUCCCCUGUUCCCGGGCAAAAUCAAGGUCUUUCCCUAACUUGUCCCAGCUCGCCACUAUGAGAUUACCAGAGGCUGCGAACCAGGGUGCAAUGGCAUCGCAUUCGCUCAAAAAUCUCUCUAUGAUGCUUCUUUUUAUUUUUAGUUUCUUUCGCUCAAACAGCUCUUGAAGAGCCAGAAAAAUUGGACGAGACUGUGAGGUCCCCAUGACAAAAACUUUCUAUGCUGCUACGGCUAAAUUCACUGCGUGUCUUGCUACUUUCCUUUCGCUGCUACCUCGAACUUUACUUUCGGUUCCCUGCUACUGCGAACUUACUUUCGGUUCGCUGUUACCUCAAACUUUGCUUUUGGUUCGCUGCUCCUGAAUAAAUUUUUCAGGUGGUCUACCUCUAUCAAAUCUGAUCAGUAUGACUCUGUGAGGUUUCCAGAGCCUAAUCACACCUUUUAAAAGCACAAAGACAAAAUCUUUCUCCCAAAAUACUGUGUUCCUUAGUCUGAAACUGGAAAAGCUUGUAUCUUGUACCCUCUCCCAGAGUAAUAAUAUAACCAUAAAACUCAAAGUCACUCCCAUCAUAAUAUCCGCUUGUUCCUGGAGCAAAUAAAAAACUUUCCAGAUUUCCGGGUGUAAGCUACAUCCCUCUUAACUUGUCCCAAAACCAGGAACCUUAUAGUCUCAAUCCGAGAGUUUUGCGACUUGUCCCAAAACCGGGAACCUUAUUGUCUCAAUCCUGGAACUUAACCCUCGUCCCAAAACCUGGGAACCUUAUUGUCUCAAUCUGAGAACUUAACCCUCGUCCCAAAACCUGGGAACUUUAUUGUCUCCUUUCGGUUCGCUGCUACCGCGAACUUUACUUUCGGUUCGCCAUUACCGCGAACUUUACUUGCUCACUACCCUGAGACUUUAUACCUGCUUAUUUCCUGUGGUCCUUAUUGUCCCAUCUUACCCUGGGAACUUUCCAGCGCUGCCCUGACUGCAAGAAGUUCUGAUCUCGGAGAGAGUUGAGUCCCUUUACGGUGGAUUCGAGGAUUCUCCGUACAGGCUACCACUUGCCGCGCUCAACCUCGACCAGCAAGGAAGACAUGACCACAGGAGAUCUUCUUCAAGCAGUUUUACUCAGGAACCUUGAUACAAUCUUCUAACCUCUAUCUCUUUUGACUCUCUCCUUCUGACUCUCUCUCUUCUGACUCUCUCUUUUCUGACUCUCUCUCUUCUGACUCUCCUCUGACUCUCUCUCUUCUGACUCUAUCUCUUUCUCUUCUGACUCUCUCUCUCCCUGACUCUCUCUUCUCUCUCUCUCUCUCUCUCUCUCUCUCUCUCUCUCUCUCUCUCUCUCUCUCUCUUCGGGGAACACCCUGCACCACACUUAAAUAGCUAGCACUGGCCAGUCCUAGCAAGCCACGUGGGUCAUGUAGAUAGGCUGUCACUAUGCGGAAGCUAUCGGGCCAGGCAGACAUAGCCAAAUAAGGACUUGUUUACUGCAAGGAGCGCUCACUGUUGGGAGGCUGGAAGGCGGAAACCAGCGCCAUCUUUGAGGGGCGGCACGUCGCAGCUCUCUACACAAUUAUAUGACCAAUUUUGGAGAAGGUACCAUGUCAUGUAAAGAAGAAGGUGUAUUCUUUUGUUUUAGGAUGAAAUGUUCUAUAGAUAACUGUUAAAUCCAUUUGGUUCAUAACUUCUGUUAGGUUCUCUGUGUCUCUGUUUAGUUUCUGUUUCCAUGAUCUGUCCAUUGAUGAGAGUGGCAUGUUGAAGUCUCCCAGUUUUAUUGUGUGUGGUACAAUGUAUGCUUUGAGCUUUAGUAAAUGUUCUUUCAUGAAUGUGGGUGCCCUUGCUUUUGGAGCAUAGAUAUUCUGAAUAGAGAGUUCAUCUUGGUGGAUUAUUAUUUUGGUGAAUAUGAAGUGCCCUUCCUUAUUCUUUUUGAUAAAUUCUGGUUGAAAGUAAAGUUUAUUGGAUAUUAGAAUGGCUACCCCAGCUUGUUUCUUGGAACCCUCAUGUGGAAAAAUGUUUUCCAGCCUUUUACUCUGAGGUAGUGUCUGUCUUUGUCACUGAGGUGCAUUUCCUGUAAGCAACAAAAUGCUGGGUCCUGUUUACAUAUCCCGUCUGUUAGUCUAUGUCUUUUUAUUAAGGAAUUGAGCCCAUUGAUGUUAAGAGAUAUUAAGUAGUAGUGAUUGUUGUUUACUAUUAGUUUUGUUGUUAGAGGUGGAAUUAUGUUUCUAUGGCUAUCUUCUUUUGGGCUUGUUGCAAGACAAUGACUGUCUUGCUUUUCCUAGGGUGUAGUUUCCCUCAUUGUGUUGUAGUCUUCCAUCUAUUAUCCUUUGUAGGGCUGGAUUUGUGGAAAGAUAUUGCAUAAAUUUGGUUUUGUCAUGGAAUAUUUUGGUUUAGCCAUAUAUGUUAAUUGAGAGUUUUGCUGGAUAUAGUAGCCUGGGCUGGCAUUUGUGUUCUCUUAGGGUCUGAAUAAUAUUUGUCUAGGAUCUUGUGGCUUCCAUGGUCCCUGAUGAAAUGUGUGGUGUAAUUCUGAGAGAUCUGCCUUUAUAUGUUACUUGACCUUUUUCCCUUACUGCUUUUAAUGUUCUUUUUUUGUUUUGUGCAUUUUGUGUUUUGACUAUUAUGUGGUGGGAGGAAUUUUUGUGGUCUAGUCUAUCUGGAGUUCUGUAGGCUUCUUGUAUCUUCAUGGGCGUCUCUUUAUUUUCUUAGUUUAAGGAAGUUUCCGUCUAUAAUUAGUUGAAGAUACUUAAGUUGGGAAUCUUCACUCUCUUCUAUACCUAUUAUCCGUAAGGUUGGUCUUCUCACUGUGUCCCUGAUGUCCUGGAUGGUUUGGGUUAGGACCUUUUUUCACUUUGCAUGUUCUUUGAUUGUUGUGUCUAUGUUUUCUAUGGUAUCGUCUGUUCCUGAGAUUUUCUUUUCUAUCUCUCGUAUUCUAUUGGUGAUGCUUGCAUCUUUGAUUCUUGAUCUCUCCCCUAGGUUUUCUGUCUCCAGGGCUGUGAUUUCUUUAUUGUUUCUAUUUCCAUUUUUAUAUCCUGUAUGUUUUUGUUCAAUUCCUUUACCUGUUUGGUUGUGUUCUUUAAGGGAGUUAUUCAUGUCCUUCUUAAAGUCCUCUACCAUCAUCGUGAGAUAUUUUUAACUUCAUAUCUUGCUUUUCAGAUGUGAUGGGAGUAUUCAGGACUUGCUGUAGUGAGAUAACUGGAUUCUGAUGGUGAGAAGUAGCCUUGGUUUCUGUUGCUUUUGUUUUGUGCUUGCAUCUCACUAUCUGGUUUUCUCUAGUCCUGCCCUAGGUGUCCCUGACUGGAGCCUGUCCCUACUGUGGUUUUGGUUGUGUCAGAACUCCUCAGAGUUCAGGUGUCUUUCUGAUCCUGGGAUCCUGGAAUCCUGACUGUGUCAGAGAUUCUGGGAGUCAAGCUGCCUCUGAGAUACUGAAGUCCUCGUGAGACCAAGCUCCUGAGGUCCUGUUUUGUCCGAGCUUCUGUGAGUCAAGCUUUUUCUGGGUCUUACAGAAGUGGGUGAGUGGAGUCCAGAGCCCUGAGAUUGCUGAGAGCACAGAUAAAACCUGGGAGGAACCUGUGCCUCUGGGUGGAUGAGGUUUGUGUUUCCAUGGUUUCUGUGUAGGUCCCAGUUAUGCUGGGUGGUGGGGAACAAGUUGUUUCCUCAACUGUGACCUUGACUGUGUCAGAGCUCCAGUGCUCCUGCAUGUGUCAACUCUUGGGAGUUGAGCUUCCUCUGUGAUCCUGUGUUCCUCUGAUCCUGGGUAUGUUAGAACACCUGGGUGAUGGGAUUCCUCUGAGUGUUGUGGGACUGAGUGUGGGACUAGUGCCCAAGGUUUGUUCAGGGCACAAGUUCAGACUGGAAGGAACCACUGUGGCUGGCUGGGUAGGGGUUCUUACAUCCCUGGAUCCCGGGAGACCCAGUCACUCUGAGUGUUGGGACAGAUGUUGUGUCCUCCUGAUGUGUGAUCCUAGGCAAGUUAGCUUCCUCUGGGUGUGGUCUAUAUCCUUUAUUGUAUACUAAAAGCAAAUAUAUGAAGAAAAUGCAAAAGUAGUAGUGUAAAUGAGAUCUGAUGAAGCAGUGGGAGACGAAAAAUGGAUUGUUUCAUUCAGGGCUUGCAGGAGGGAUGCAGAAUUGAAAGACCAUUAUGGGAGGAGAGAGGGGAGAUUGAACUCUGCUAGAAAAUGGAUGCAGAUAGGACCUUGGGUCUCGACAGAUCCAGAAGCACCAUAAACUACGAAUGUAGGUUUCCAAAUUAUUCACAUAGAAUUCUUCUACCAGGAAACAAUCUACAACUGACAGACAUUGUCUACCCCAGGUUGGCACUGGUGCAGCAUCAUAUGACCUGAAUGUCAGCAAGGUGAUGGCCUGGGCAGGAUGAUUCCAGGUCUCCAGGGAGGGCACUGAGGGGACUGACUGGGAUGUCUCUGGUCUCUCUGCAGGUUUUCCUGUGUUACUGAGCAGGCCUCUGUGACAUGACAUGGCCUUCAGUAACCACCUAUGGUCACAGACUGCACGUUCUAUUCUGGCUCUGGCUCUAGUCACAGAAGAAGGCAGACUGUGGACAGUUACCAACCUAUUGAACAGGCUGUAAUAAGUACUGAUAUGGGCUCAGCCUACAUCAAGGCUUCCUCCAGUGGCUGGAAUUUACCUACUAGCUCUACGCUCUGUCAGCUUACAGCAGCACCAGCAUGAUUUCAUGGUCAAACUGGUCAAGCACCCUAUCCCAGCUCCUGACUUUGUAUUUAAACAUGUCCUGGAUCCUUGACCACCAGCAGCAGUAGAUACUGAAACAAACUACCUGAACUGGAUGUGAAAGUGUUUCAGCUGAAUCUUGAGAGGUGAACAUUCUUUGUGCCUGUCAUUUGAAUGAGACAGCUUGAGGAAGGGCCAUCCAUAUUCCCGCUCCCUAAGGAUUUCCUGUGUUACUAGGCAGGCCUGUGUGAUGUGGCCCUCAGUAACUAUCAAUGGUCACACACUGCGCUCUAUUCUGGAUCAAGCUACAGUCACAGAAGAAGACAGACUGGUGAUGACCACUGACCCAUCACACAGGCUUAGAUGAGUAGUGAUAGGGUCUGACCACAUCAAGGUGAGGAGGAGCUCCCGGGAUAGGUGUUCUUUAUGUCUGUCCUAGAAAUGCAGGUACGGACUCCUGGGAUAGGUGUUUUCUACGUCUGACUUUGAAAUGUACGUAUAAAUUCUCCUACUUUUGAAAUGGGGAUGAAAUCUUUGUGGUUGUUGUCUCAGCACAUCAGUCUGUAAAGUGACAAAAACAUAAAGGUGGGACAGUAAGGGGACACAUUGAGCCACAGACCUGGGUGGGGUCUUCACAGGGUUGGCUCAUCCUGAAAAAGUGUAGCCUUUUGUUGUCUCUGUAAUGACAGAAAGAUUAUUACUAACUGCACAGCAAAGGGCAUGUGUGAAGGUGACACCUGAAAGUGACUGUGCCUUCCCACCUGCCCUGUCUCUCCAUAAACUGCACUGGGGCAGGAGCAAUGCUGACCUUCCCCUGCUCCAUCACUGUGAGACAGGAACCACUGUCCUGAAAGACAGGAGUGUUUACCAGGAAGCAGCUCCCAUCUGGGAAGGAGCCAUGAGCUCAGGAGGAAGAGCUCCAGAAAGAACAACCUUUCUUUGCAGGGACAAAAUCAAGUUUAUUACCAGGAAGCAUGGGGGACACAAUGGCUGGGCAGAUGGGACAUCUUCUAGAAAAUCCUGGUGUUAAGGCAAAGAUGGCCAGAGCCACCUGCACCUUGCCCUGUCCUGGUCAGGUCUAUCUGGUGUCAGAUGCUUGCUGGGCAGCAACUGAAGUCCUUAAGCAGUCAGUUCCCGUGUGGUUGACUGGAUGGUUCCCUUUGGGACUUGUAAGGCAGCCAUGGAACUUUAAUGUGGUUCAGGGACUGAAUGAUCAGUACCUGACUGCUGUUCCUCUAAUUUCUCAGUAUCCGUGUGAAUGGUUCUGUCUCACAGGGCUGAUUUUGAAGACUGUGACUGAUUCAAGUUUUUGUUGUAGUUUUACCUGGGUCACAUGCUCUCUAGUCAGCAAUACCUGGCCCCUGCUUGUCUCUAGUUCCCCUGUACCCACAUGGAAGUUCAUUCUCCUUGGGCGUGUGGAGCUGCUUAAAGCCCAUCCCCCUCUUCACUUGAGUUGGAAGUUGGUCACAGGCUCUCUGGGCUUCAAUAUCUGACUGUGGUUUGUCUUCAAUCCCCGUAUAUGUGAAGGGAUAGCUAUUGAUCUCAGGGCUGACAUGGCCACAGCGUAAUCUGCUUGCUGCUCUGCUAUGAAUUGUGUCAUGCAGACCCACAGGAGAGUGGGAUGUCAGUGAGUCUACUUUACACCCUAGUACCUUUGAUGGGUACCCUUCAGUGUUUUCCAAGAUCUGGACGAGAGCAUUCACAAGUGAUUGUAUUUCAGCUACAAUUGAAGAUGACCUUGUUCCUCGUUACAACCUCCUGUAUUUGCCCAGUACCUGAUGUAGGGAGAAUAUUCUCUAUGGAAUCCCCCUGCCCUAAGUAUUUUGUGAUGAAGUUUCCAUAUUUUGAAGCAGUCCUUGUGAUGUUAUUCCAAGACCUUUUAGAAGUAGCCUCCCCUUCCCCUGGAAUCCAAGUCUUGGUUGUAUCCCUAAACUGGGUGGAGCUUGGGAUGGAAGGACUUACUUUCCUGAGCCUUUCUCCCUGGCUUAUGGCUCUAGAUCUUAUAGUAAUCUGCUUCUCUUCAUGGGCAUGGAACCCCUUGAAAUCUUUCACUUCAAAUUUUUCCUUAGGGACACAUAUCUCUCCAGUUUCUACCCUCGAGUGUCUCCUCAUGAAGACAUCACCUGAGCCCUGGGAAGUUAUGGGAUUUUGGCAUGUAUUCUGGAAGUUAAGCAUCCGGUGUUUUGAAGGCAAGCUGACCUUGGCAGUGUGUACUGUAGUGGGGACAUCUGGAUCGUGUUUCACAGGCCAGGGCUGUGGCUGAAGGCCAGGAGCAGUCAGUUCCCAUGUGAUUGACUGGACUUGUAAGUCCCUUUGGGACGUGUAAGGCAGCCACAGCCCUUUUUUUGUUUGUACUUUGAUUUCAAGUCAAUCUGACUAUAUGUCUGUGAUUUUAGACCUGUGUCCUGUUCAUGCUAUAGGGUAGGUGUUUGGAGACGGCCUGGAUUUUUUGUUGGUCUCUAAAGACCCAAAGUCCCUGGGACUGAUCAUGAUGGCUUGCCCAUUGUGACUCUCACUGGAUUCCAGACUCACUGUCCAUGCAGAUGGCUCUUCUAUCACACCUACCAUAUUGCUUUAUUUGGCUCCUGAGGGUGGGACAGUUUCAUCCUGGCCAAGCACUAUCACACGCCAGAAGGGAUGAGCUGAGUCCACAUGCUGAAACCUCCUCCUAGGUGGAUGCUUGGCCAUUUUUGGGCCAAAUUUGUUUGCAUACUGCCUCUUUCCAUUCUUUGGAUAGUCCUGGUCUGCUGUGGUUUUGUCUGGAGGUGAAAGUCAGUUUGCUGAAUACUCAGAUAUCCCUAAAAUGGAUCUGGAUGAGCUUUUGAGGGCCCAUGACUUGUCGCACCCACCUCGGCAGGCAAGGAAGACGCAACACGGUCGGAUUCUUCUCAACACCCUUUAUUGCAGGACCACCUCUUUGCUGAUACGGGGACCUUGAGCAGCAAAAGCACUCACCUUAUAUACACAACAGGCUGGGGCUAUGCUAAUUGUCUUUCAGGGAUUGGCGGAGCACAAAUCACCCCACUAUCACCCCACUAUCACCCCACUAUCACCCCACUAUCACCCCUGCUACUUAUCCUCCAGGGAUUGGUGGAGCAUGAAUCCCUCAUUAGCAUAUUAACGUCCCGGCCAACUGAUGCCAGGUACAAAACCCGUGCAUGUGCAGUACUGCUGUUCACCACAGGAGGGUGCUCUACAUCUCCCCCUUUUUUUGUUUAAUAAAAUGACUGGUCUAGA